rnacentral:rRNA from 1 species
CAUGGAGGGUGAGAAUCCCGUUCGGUUGAUCAUUUGCGUUUUACGAUACGCUUUCUAAGAGUCAAGUUGUUUGGGAUUGCAGCUUAAAAUGGGAGGUAAAUUUCUCCUAAGGCUAAAUAACGGCGAGAGACCGAUAGCGAACAAGUACCGUGAGGGAAAGAUGAAAAGAACUUUGAAAAGAGAGUUAAACAGUACGUGAAAUUGUUGAAAGGGAAACGAUUGAAGCCAGUCGUACCUUCGGGUAAUCAGCCUUUCGGGUGCGAUUCUGUGGAGUGUGAGGAGCUUAACACCUUCAUGCUUUGCAUAUUUGUGCUCUUGGGUGUACUUGCCCGUGUGGUUGGUUAACAUCAAUUUUGGUUAUCAUAAAAUGAUUGGAGGAAUGUAGCUUCGAUCUCGUAUUGAAGUGUUAUAGCCUUCGGUAGAUGUGAUGAUCGAGAUUGAGGAUUGCAACGGAUACCCUUCGGGGCUACCUGUCUGGUCUCUGAUCGUUGCUCUGGUGCCGAAAGCUUGCUUACGGUUAUCAAAGUCGAUGGUCAAUAGGUUAGAACGGGUUAAAUUCGUUAAGGAUGUUGACGUAAUG